GAACAGCUGAGCUGCAUCUAACAAUUCACAAAUCCGCAGUCCACACUCUCUAGUCUCUCUCUGCGUUCAACCACGAGAGUAGAAUUUCAGCAGCGACAAUGUUCGGAGCUCAAGCUUCCUCUUCUCCUUUCGGCCUGUCAUCGUCAACCUCAGUCUUCGGAACGCCAUCGUCAACCCCGGCCUUCGGGACGCCGUCGUCAACCCCGGCCUUCGGCACGCCGUCUUCAACCCCAAGCUUCUUCACUCCUUCGACCCCAGCCUUUGGAACUCCGUCGUCGUCUUCAUUUUCCACUGGUGGCUUCGGCGGCUCCUUCUUCGCCACUCCAUUCUCUUCUCAAACUCAAC
rnacentral:lncRNA from 1 species